rnacentral:rRNA from 1 species
GACGAACGCUGGCGGCGUGCCUAACACAUGCAAGUCGAACGGACUUAGAUGUUAGACUGUAGACAUUAGACAUUAGACGAGGGUAAAGGAGCACACAGAGCGAAGGGAAGAAAAGCAGGGUGUGGGCGACGGAGUCUAAAAACUAAUAUCUAAAGUCUAACGCCUAAGUUAGUGGCGGACGGGUGAGUAACGCGUGAGCAACCUGCCUUUCAGAGGGGGAUAACGUUUGGAAACAGACGCUAAUACCGCAUAAGAUAGCAGUAUCGCAUGGUACAGCUAUCAAAGGAGCAAUCCGCUGAAAGAUGGGCUCGCGUCCGAUUAGAUAGUUGGUGAGGUAACGGCUCACCAAGUCGACGAUCGGUAGCCGGACUGAGAGGUUGAACGGCCACAUUGGGACUGAGACACGGCCCAGACUCCUACGGGAGGCAGCAGUGGGGAAUAUUGCACAAUGGGCGAAAGCCUGACGCAGCGACGUCGCGUGACCGAUG